AUUGAACGCUGGCGGCAGGCCUAACACAUGCAAGUCGAAAGAGUGGCGGACGGGUGAGUAAGGUCUGGGAAACUGCCUGAUGGAGGGGGAUAACUACUGGAAACGGUAGCUAAUACCGCAUACCAUCAGAUGUGCCCAGAUGGGAUUAGGUAGUUGGUGGGGUAAAGGCUCACAAAGGCGACGAUCCCUAGCUGGUCUGAGAGGAUGACCAGCCACACUGGAACGUAGACACGGCCCAGCCUACUACGGGAUGCAGCAGUGGGGAAUAGUGCACAAUGGGCGCAAGCCUGAUGGAGCCAUGCCGCGUGUAUGAAGAAGGCCUUCGUGUUGUAAAGUACUUUCAGCGGGGAGGCGUUACCCGCAGAAGAAGCACCGGCUAACUCCGUGCCAGCAGCCGCGGUAAUUC
rnacentral:rRNA from 1 species